rnacentral:lncRNA from 1 species
GACAUAUUUGCGCAGUCUUAGCCGUUUUACUCAAACCAAGGUUACGAAGCAAGUAUAAGUAAGCCAACCCUAUCAUAAGAUGACACCCUUCUGCUUACAACUGUGUGUUUAGUUAUUUAUUCACGAUGAUGGCGGGUUUUCAUAGUGAGGCAAGUAUACUUUCUAACCUCUUCUUUCCUUAUAAUAAGCAGUUUACUUAUGCAAGGUGGUUGGCUUGUUUCAAGGGUAUUUUUUGUGGUUAUAGUAUGUAACUGGUCCAUGCCGUACUUGAUCUCAUUAUCUUGUCCUCCCUAGGACAAUGUCUAAACCAACCAAAAACUUGGGCCAACAGAACCAGUUGCUACCUUGUGUCUACCAAAGAUUCCAGGAGACCGUGAGGUGUCGUGGUCUGGUGGUGACGGAUAGCACUGGCUGUGGCCAGGCUGAAUCAGCUGAACCGUGGCCGGGCAGAGUCUUUUGGAAAGAGUCCCCGUCAGGGGCAGGAGGUGGCUGCGGGAAGUAGGAUCUGCAGGUGACUGCAGCUGCCAGCAGCAGAGGCCAAGGCAGGUGGCUGAGGCCAGGGCCCUGGGCUGUGGGGGCCCUUGGAGGCUGAGUGUGGAUGGCAGAGGCAGUGGGAGGCAUGUCCCUAAGCUGAUUCACAGAUGGACGUAAGUCACUCUUUGGGAAGUUCCACAUAUAUGUGGGGGGACCAUGCAAGGCACUGUAUGAACAACUGGGGCUUGGGGUUCCCAAGACAUGAGAAGCAGCAGUCAUGUCAUUUCAUUCAAAUCCAUAGGCCAGUAUGUGAGGACGCUUGAGAUUCAAAUGAAACAUGUGGAUUGCAGAACGGUUGAAAAGAGGCUGCUUCCUUCUUCCAGCUACAUAUAUAGGUCAGCAAAGCGUGGCCUGGUAGAAUAGGUAUUUGUAAUUAAUUUUAAAUUGCUUAAGUAUUAACUGAUGCUUUUGAGAUGCUUGAACACAGUUUGUCCUCAGGCAUUUUAACAUUUAAACCCACUCCUUGCCUCCCUCUAAUCUUAUUUACACUGCUAAUUUGCUUAGCAAAUAUUCUCUAG